rnacentral:rRNA from 1 species
UACGAAGGGGGCUAGCGUUGCUCGGAAUCACUGGGCGUAAAGGGUGCGUAGGCGGGUCUUUAAGUCAGGGGUGAAAUCCUGGAGCUCAACUCCAGAACUGCCUUUGAUACUGAGGAUCUUGAGUUCGGGAGAGGUGAGUGGAACUGCGAGUGUAGAGGUGAAAUUCGUAGAUAUUCGCAAGAACACCAGUGGCGAAGGCGGCUCACUGGCCCGAUACUGACGCUGAGGCACGAAAGCGUGGGGAUCAAACAGGAGUUAGAUAUCC